AAAGAAACGCGUUCAGAAAAACUAAAAAACUACGUAAGAUUGACGUAGGCAACGUUCAACGUUAAACGUUAAAUUGAAAUAUUAAUUUAAAAUUAAUACUCCAAUCUAUUGUUUAAUGUUUAAUAAUAUUUAAAUGGUGAAUUAGAUAUUAAUAAUAUUUAGAUAGUAAUUUUUUUUCAUUAUGGACUGGUGGAUGUUCUUUAUGCUUCUGUGCUGCUCUCAACUUUUAUCGAUAGCUGUUAUAAUUAUCCUUGUAGUUUUCAAUAUUUUGCUACUGCUCAAACAAAAGGAGAAUACAUUAAAAAACACUGAAAACAACAACAAAAUAUUUAAAAAGUUGUUAAAAAACGGUGGUAUCUCAAAGAUAGCCGAAAGUGAAAUUUCUUCUAAAGUUGAAAGUCAGGGACACGUCUUUUAUAUUGUAGAAAAAAUAAGCGAACUAGAAGAUAUUAUUACAAAACAAAGAAUGAAGAAUAACCUACGUAAAAGUCAAUGUCAUUCAAAGCGGCCAAGUAUUUGUGAACAUUUUUUUUUUUCGUAGAAAAUCAAAAACUAAUUCACCUUGUGAAAAUGAAGAUUAGUUUUAUACACAAUUAGAUAUUGCAAAAAUGAAAGAAAAUUGAAGAUUUAUUUUGUAUUAAUGUCAAAUAUGGUAGCAUUCUUUAUAAAAAAAAAACUUUUAAUUAAAAAAAAAAAAAAAAAAACAUUUAUAAAUCUUUAAAAACUAUAUUAAAAAAGGUAUGAAUAAAUAUAUGUAUAUAUGAUAAGAAUAUAUUAAUAAAAUAGUA